GAAAUAUUAACUGUUUCAUUUAAAUUUUUUGUAGAAUUUUAUUUUUUAGUCAAAAAGCUAAAAUAAAUUUAAAAGACGAGAAGACCCUAUAAAUCUUUAUAUUUUAUUUAUUUUAAUUAUAAAGAUUAUUUUUGUUAUAAUAAAUAAAAAUAUUUUAUUGGGGUGAUAUUAAAAUUUAAAAAACUUUUAAUUUUUAAAUCCAUUAAUUUAUGAUUAAUUGAUCCAUUUAUAAUGAUUAAAAAUUUAAGUUACUUUAGGGAUAACAGCGUAAUUUUUUUGGAGAGUUCAUAUCGAUAAAAAAGAUUGCGACCUCGAUGUUGGAUUAAGAUAUAAUUUUGGGUGUAGCCGUUCAAAUUUUAAGUCUGUUCGACUUUUAAAUUCUU
rnacentral:rRNA from 1 species